UGUAUGUUGGUCCAUCACCGCACCCUCAACCAAUCUUUUUCUUCCAAAUAUCAUCAAUUUUGGACGUGAUUCAUGGCUCUUCUGCUACGUGUUCUUCUCCGCCUCUUCGAGAACACCACCACCGCCUCUGCUUCUAUCUCCACCUGUUUGCCUCUCGAUUGAAUCCUUUAUCGUCUCUCUCUUUCGACUUCUUCUACCAUUUUUCCAAAGGAUCCCGCUUCCAACGAUGCCCUUUACUACCUGUUCUUCAUCGGGUUACCGUAACUCUACUUUGGUCACUGCCUCCGGAUCCUUCCCCACGGUCGGCUCCGCCGCUUCUUACCAUUCCAUUCGUAAUCGGUGGAGCAAAAACAGAUCAGAGAGGAAAACGAAGAAAUCGCCAAGGCCUUUGUCGUGCAGUUGUGGCUUCUCGACUCUCAUCCACGACCUGUAACAACCCUCCCUUAUUUAUUGUGUAUCCAGUGGUCUUUGAUUAAGCAGGAGACAACCAAUGAACGAUUAUUUGUAAUUACUGAUGAAGUUAUCGAUUGGUGCCCUACCCCUCUAAUCAGAUAAGUUGCUAUUAUAGAUUCUUCUUCAGUUUCAGUUUUUAGAUGUACACAAAUAUGGCUGAACACGAUGGCAAAGAAAGCGGACGGACGCCCAUAUGGGCUCUCUCUCACCGUUAUUCUCUCUCCCACCGCCAUUAUCCUAUUUCACUGCUUCUUACCGGAAAAGAACGACCUAUAAAGCCAAUUUUGACAAGGAACCAACAACAACCAGCAGCACAUAUCAACACUAUGCUGGUGGUGGUGCGACGACGUUGGCUGCUGAUCGCAGUGGCUGGAGGUGAUGUUCGGUUGAACUUUCCUUACCGGUUGAAAGGCUGCUGUGGCGACCCUUCAAGAUGAGUCGUAAGAAAUUGAGAGGAUGAAACAAAACAUCAUUGUUCCUCAAUUUCCUGACUACUUUCGACAUUGAAAUAAUCAACAGGUAUCCUCGCCUAAUUUCUGGAUGAUUUCAAGAUUUGGAUCGAACUAAGUCUUUUCUUUCUCAGCGCUCAUAGGAAAUUGUUGGGUUUUCUAAUUUGUGUUCCAUUUUUUUACGAAAAUCAUAGGAGAGAGUUCUGAAGUGGAAUUGUGGCUAUGGUUAAUUCUUCUGUUCAGAAAUCUGAAUAGUGUGUAAAAAAAUACAUUUGAUUUCCUUUUCUGUAUGUUCUUCAAUAGAUUUGUCAAGUGUUUAGCAUCCUAUAUUCCUAUAUAUUUCGUUCAGCUGUUUUCAGAUGUUGGUGACUUAAAAAGGUACUUACUUAAAGAAGGAUUGGAUUGUUUUUGUUAUUCAAACUUUGCAGAUUUGAGGAUGCACAUCAACUGUUUGAUGAAAUGCUUCAAAGAACCGGUCUUCAAAAGAGUUUUCAGAGGCUAUGCUACAAAGCUUUUCAUGAAGAUGCAUUGCAUAUUAAUAUCAUACAACCACAUACAAUUAACACAACACAAACCUCUCCAAGCCAUAAUCCGCAGUAAAACCUAAUUCUUUGUGUGUCCCUAUUAGGCAUCCAAUCACUGAGCAAAAAAGUAGGUUGCUAUUAAACAAAUUAAGAAAAUUUAGUUACAAUCAAGAUUCAGCUAUUUUUUCUUCUACUUUCUUUCACCAACAGUUCCAUUCCAGAUUUCUAAAAACCGAAAUGCAAUGUUGAAUUUCACGUUGUAGUUGAACUUGUGGCUGACAAAUAUCAACUUUCUUAUUGCGAGAGUGAUUGUUUUAAUUUUUUUUUUUUUUAAAUUGCAUCAAAAACAAAUUAAGGGCAGGUUAAACAACGAUUGCAGCAGCUUACCCAAUUCCACACUUCUUUUUUUUUUUUUUUUUUUUUUUUUUAAUAUUAUCUACGUCUUUUGCAUCUUUUGCUUAUUAUCUACGAACGUAUGUAAUAUUUAUUUUUAAAUGCAAUCCAUUUGCGCAUAUAACUGUAAUUGAUGUGGGUCGAAUGUGUUUGUUGUAGUAAACUGAAGGGUAAUUGCAACUAUAAAUAUAUCACUACUAGGGACAUCCUUUUGAAAUAGUUUUGCAGUGCUUUAUUGUUUUUCUAUUAUCUGUCAGAAAUUAUGGAAGAUCUUAAUUUGUAAAUUAUUAGCUAUUUUAAUAGGGCUGCAAUUUAAUUGUGCAGGGGGAGAAUAAAAGAUUGAUAUUCUUUAACAUGCUUAUGUUGGAUUGUUGAGGUCAGAUUAUCACUUAAAAUUCCGUUUUCUGCAUGCUAAUAUUGUGAUUGCAGUUCAAAAUUUGGACUAGGUUUCACCUAAUUCGAAUAAGAAUAUAUCCAGAACAAAAUUUGCCUUUUACAGCACGCCUGCUCUUAUUACAUUCUGUUUCCCCACAAAGGCUGCACUACAGGAGGUGUAUUAAACCCCACUUAUGUCCUUUGAAAUCCUAUCAGAUAAGCCACACAAAAG